GACAGAGGUGCCAAGCGUUAGGCGGAAUCACUGGGCUUAAAGCGCGUGUAGGUGGCGGCCUAAGUACCUUGUGAAAUCCUGCGGCUCAACCGCAGAACUGCUUGGUAUACUGGGUCGCUUGAGCCAUCCAGGGGCAACUGGAACAAGCGGUGGAGCGGUGAAAUGCGCAGAUAUCAGGAGGAACACCGGUGGCGAAGGCGGGUCUCUGGGCAACAACUGACGCUGAGGAGCGAAAGCGUGGGGAGCGAACAGG
rnacentral:rRNA from 1 species